rfam:Orientia tsutsugamushi Boryong complete genome
GGGCGAUUAGUUCAGUUGGUAGAGCAUCUCGUUUACACCGAGAAAGUCGGCAGUUCAAGUCUGUCAUCGCCCA